UGGAGAGUUUGAUCCUGGCUCAGGACGAACGCUGGCGGCGUGCUUAACACAUGCAAGUCGAACGAUGAUCUCCCGCUUGCGGGGGUGAUUAGUGGCGAACGGGUGAGUAAUACGUGAGUAACCUGCCCUUGACUCUGGGAUAAGCCUGGGAAACCGGGUCUAAUACUGGAUACGACCCUUCAUCGCAUGGUGGGGGGUGGAAAGGGUUUGACUGGUUUUGGAUGGGCUCACGGCCUAUCAGCUUGUUGGUGGGGUAAUGGCUCACCAAGGCGACGACGGGUAGCCGGCCUGAGAGGGUGACCGGCCACACUGGGACUGAGACACGGCCCAGACUCCUACGGGAGGCAGCAGUGGGGAAUAUUGCACAAUGGGCGGAAGCCUGAUGCAGCGACGCCGCGUGAGGGAUGACGGCCUUCGGGUUGUAAACCUCUUUCAGCAGGGAAGAAGCCACAAGUGACGGUACCUGCAGAAGAAGCGCCGGCUAACUACGUGCCAGCAGCCGCGGUA
rnacentral:rRNA from 1 species